CUUGCUUCAGGUGACUUGCGUAUGCAGAAUCAUGGGGGACCCAGAGCUGCCAGAAGUCUGGAGGAGAGUUGUAUAAUGAGCGCCGCAGGAACAAGCCCUCAGCUCGGCACAGGCGCUACAGUCCCUUCCGUAUCCCAUUCUCCACUCUACAACUCAGAGAGGACCAGAACUGACCUGACUUCUCCCCUCCAGCAUCAGCUGUAUUAAAGAAACAAAGCCCGCCCCCCAUGCCGCACUCCGCUGUGACUGCAAACAAACUGCUCCUGGUUUCCCCCAACUUCACUCUCAGCAGAGAAAAAGGAUGUUCAAGGGGACAGAGAAGCCAGUCAAAACA